ACUGUCAUAACCUGAUGGUUUGGGAACUUUUUUGUUUUUUUUUUUGCACUUAUGAGAAACUAACAAAAUUUCAUUUCCAAUACUUUAAUUUCAAAACUAAACUUUUAACUAAAUUUAAAACAAUGGCAACAUGAGCAAACAAUAAAUAAAACAUUAUCUACUAACUGUCAGUGUUAAAACAAUGGAUUUUAAACCAAUCAGACCUAUGGAAAUAAAGUUUUUGAACCAUUUACUACAACAAGAUUUGACUAAUGAGUCUGGAAGAAAUAUGAAGAAGCCGUGGGUCUUCACAAAUUGAGAUAGAAUGCUUAAUUAAUUAAUAUGUAUUAACCUAAUUAUUAUAUGCUAUAUUUAUCACAUAUUAGGAUAAUAUUAUUAUUAUCAUCAUUAUUACAGUACAGGACAAGGUUCUGUGGACGCAUGGGUCUAUUACUGAACGUCUGGAACAACUGCAACAUCUGGAGCAAAGACAAAAAAAAAAUCCAAGGUCAAAUGUUGGCUGAUGUUUUAAAGGUGUUUGUUGUUUCAGGGCGAAAUGCUGUAAAUGAGGGAAACUCAGAUCCUGAAGGAGAAUGUUACUGUAGCUCAUCAACAAAAUGAGCACAGACAUCACAGUACAAAGCAAAACGACUGAGUCUGGACACAAACUAUCAACGUGUGUAAAGUUCAGGGAGUAAUUAUUUUAUCACUUCAGGGAUUUUGGUAUUAAGCUUUUGUGUUGGAUCUAUUUUGUGUUGCCUUUGUUUUGAUGUUAGAUGUGACUUUAGUUUGAAGACACUCGGACACAAAAAGCAGAAAUGAGGAGGGGUCCAGUGUUUCUCACAGCAACGUACGAGGCUCCUCCUACUGACUGCACAUGUGGCUGCUUCACAGCUGGAUUGCAGCUGUGAUCAUCAGACCCACAACAACAGUGUGUCACCUCUGAACAUGGACACACUCGCUGCACUUCUGUUCGUUUCAGCUCUCGUAGGUAACAGCCUCGAAGAUGAUAUUACUGCCAUCAGAACUGAAGUGUUUUCAUCAGAGGGUCGUAGCGUUACUCUCUCCUGUAAAUACUCCGUUAAAGCUAAUAAUCUCCAGUGGUACCGACAGGAUGCUGGAUCAGCUCCUCAGUAUCUACUCCUCAUCACUGAUACGAAACAGCCUGAAGUGAUUCAAGCAAAGCCCUCAAACCCUCGACUGACUGCUAAACUGAACGACCAGAGAAAUCAAGUGGAUCUGGAGAUCUCCUCUGCUGCAGUGUCUGACUCUGCUGUGUACUACUGUGCUCUGCAGCCCACAGUGACAGGAAACACCUCAACUCUGUACAAAAACCUCUGGAGCAAAGACAACACAAUGCUCCACAGCAUCCACCAGAGGGAGACACUGUGAGAAACUUCAGGAGUUUCAGACCAGAAAUGCUUGAACAACUAAAAUGAUACUCAUUCUGUUAACGUCUGGCUGAAAAUGGCGAACCAUGUCAAAAAAAGGACAGAGACUGGCAAAAAUAUUUAAUAAUUAACACUCUCACACACAGAAAGACUAAAACACAGGGGACUGGGAGGAGAAAACACUGUUGGCAAGGUGCCCUGGCUCACAGGCCUAGAUGACAGAACAGAACUAAGUAGUCGGCAUGGCCCGUUUGACAUGGACGCUUCGGCGCUUGCUCCCCUUGCUCGUGGUUCAGCACAGUGUUCUGGGGCGUGUACCAGUGAUCACAUGGUCAGUGACGUCCAAAUGCAUUAUUUGGUCAAACCAGAGUUCAGAGGUCACUCAUCUGUUUGAACACAUUUAUAAAGUAAAAAUGAAUGCCAAACGACGUUUCCCGACCAGUUCUGUGGCUCUGUCAGAAUCUAAAUCAGUUCAUUGCUCUUUACUAUGACUUCUGGUAGGAAACGUUCCGUGGCUUGGAGUCUCCUCAUCCUGGUUUCUCCUAAUAAAAGUAAUAUUAUUGUACAAUAUUUACUAGUCUGAUGUAAGAUGUAUGCACGGUGUUGUUUUUCAAGUGUAAGUGUAUUCUUUAUUAUUAUUAUGGCUGUUUAUGCUAAUAUAAUUUUCUUAAACGGGCAGCACGUUUAAGAAUGUACAGUAAGUUCUUUCAUUUUGGACUUUUUUUAUCUAGCGCACAUUACAAACAAAGUGCUUAUGGCCAUUAUUACACAGCUGUAUCCUGUUUACCUUUCUGUCUGUGUUCUGAUAGAAACAUGUUUAUUACACACCAGGUCUCUAAUAAAAUUAAAAAUUAAAACAAAUAAAAUGUACUAUUAUUGUUAGCUAUUGGUGAUGUCUUUGAAGUAGAAUUAGGAUUGCCUUUCAUUUCAAAUGCAAAGUGAAUGCAAAAUAAAUUAAAAAGUAAUUAUUUAUCUUUUUUUUCCCCCUUUUUAUUGAAGGUGCAGUAUUUGAUUUGCCCAAAAGAAUUCGCAUUUCAUAACAUCGUCGAUGACGCAACACCUCCAGUCCGUCCAUCACGUUGAAAGCCCUCGGACAACAAAUCAAACCUUCAAUCUUCCUCCUGCCGGUUAUUAUACAUAUAU